AAGAUCUCAGACUUUGUCUUAUUUAUCUCAGAUAGUCAUGAAGGCGUACGACACAAACCCAUCAAAGCUUGGAGAAAGGUUUGGCGAGAGAGCUGAAAAACGAAGAUGUCGGAGAA